AACGAACGCUGGCGGCAGGCCUAACACAUGCAAGUCGAACGUGAAGCCACCUUCGGGUGGUGGAAAGUGGCAGACGGGUGAGUAACGCGUGGGAACGUGCCUUUCGGUUCGGAAUAACCCAGGGAAACUUGGGCUAAUACCGGAUACGCCCUUCGGGGGAAAGAUUCAUCGCCGAAAGAUCGGCCCGCGUCGGAUUAGCUAGUUGGUAGGGUAAUGGCCUACCAAGGCGACGAUCCGUAGCUGGUCUGAGAGGAUGACCAGCCACACUGGGACUGGGACACGGCCCAGACUCCUACGGGAGGCAGCAGUGGGCAAUAUUGGACAAUGGGCGAAAGCCUGAUCCAGCCAUGCCGCGUGGGUGAAGAAGGCCCUAGGGUUGUAAACCCCUUUCAGCGGGGAAGAUAAUGACGGUACCCGCAGAAGAAGCCCCGGCUAACUCCGUGCCAGCAGCCGCCGUAA
rnacentral:rRNA from 1 species